GUUGGAAGAUUGAAGGGGGCUGCUCCUAGUACGAGAGGACCGGAGUGGACGAACCUCUGGUGUUCGGGUUGUGUCGCCAGACGCAUUGCCCGGUAGCUAAGUUCGGAAUCGAUAACCGCUGAAAGCAUCUAAGCGGGAAGCGAGCCCUGAGAUGAGUCUUCCCUGAUACUUUAAGUAUCCUGAAGGGUUGUUCGAGACUAGAACGUUGAUAGGCAGGGUGUGUAAGCGCUGUGAGGCGUUGAGCUAACCUGUACUAAUUGCCCGUGAGGCUUAACCAUACAACACCCAAAGGGUUUUG
rnacentral:rRNA from 1 species